UAGCAUGUAGUGAAAGUAGCCAGGACUGCAUUCAAGGUUUUCACCUUUCAGUUCCCUGUUUGCCUCUGACAAAUACAUGGAAGCUGACUUUUCCUCUACCCCAUUGCAGCCAGCACUGCAGCUUGUGUAUGGAAGAGAGAGAUGCUGUUCCUUUGCAGGAGAUGCUGAGGCUGUGCACAGAUGAUCAAGAGGGACAAGAGACACAGGAGACUGGCUUAAGGGUAUUCAGAUCACAAAGCUUUUUGAUGAAGAGAACAUGCAGCUGGCUGUUCCAGAAAAAUAAACACCACUUGUAAAUAUCUAGCCCUCUUGCCAUCUCUGAAGAAUUUCUGCCAGCUGAUUUACAGUUUGCCUCUACAUUAUGAAGACUACUGUGAGAAGAGUUUUAGUUUUGCUGUGAGAAUUCAUCUACUUCUGCCCCUCUUUCCUCAUCUGAAGUCAGUGAAGUGACGGUUCAGACUUGUCCGAUUACUUAAUCCAAAACUGCAUCCUACUCUCAGCUAGUGCCGAGGUGAUCCAGCAGGCAAGAGCUUACUAUCAGCCAUGGGAAUUUACAAGCUUUCCAACAAGACUGAAGAAGUCCAGGAAACCACAAUGACAGAUCCACUUGAAACAACCAUUUCAUACCUUGGAAAAUGGUAAUGGGAGGAAGUGAUCUCCUGAUCUCCAGCUGUGGUUCUGUGUGCUGCUCUGAUCCCACCGAUGACUGGAUUUGAGAGUAAAGCACGGUUGGUUCUGCCUCUGCCCUGUGUCGGAUUUCACCCUUCUGCCCUUGCUCUGAAGAUUGAAAUAUCUGAGGACCCUUCUGCUCUCAGGUAAAAUUUUCACUGGGUUUGUGCUUCCCAUGCCUCUGUGAAAGUGCUGAAAACUCUACAGCUGGCUUUG